rnacentral:lncRNA from 1 species
UUAAACCCGAUUUAUAAUAUCAUCUAAAGAAGACUGACAUACCAGUUGACAAGAAUUUUGUCCAACAGAGAUAUUGAAUUAAUUUAAAAUGUAUUUUAUUUAUUUUAAAUUUUUGCGCUUUCUGAACUUGUCGAUAUUAUGUUCUGUAGCCCAGCACAAAGUUGAACAUACCUGCCAAGGAACCAGGAGCCUUGUCUAAUCAGUGAUCCGCUUUCAUUCCGGAUUCAGGAGGUAUCACGUGAGGUGUGACGUGAUUGAAAAUGGAAGCUGUAGUAAAGUUCACUUCGGCAACGAAAAUAAACGAAGCAUUGCAGAACUUAUAGAUCCGCUAGUGGUACAUUACCGUGGUUUAUUGACCUCGAUGAAAAAAAGUGCCAUGAAACAGAGGCGGCCAUUCAGCCAAUAGACCUUUUCACGGUAAACGCCGCCAUAUUGGAUAGGGGGCAACAAUCAAGAGCACCGAAUACGUGUCACCUGACACGAGUAAAAAAUGGCGGAAAGUUUAAAAUCGAUAACGAUUAGAAUGGCCAUGUAGAUCUCCAACAUUUUAACAUUUACACGACAAGUCAACACCAGUAGAAAGUCUACUACAGUUGUCAGGAAAGUCUAGCAUCAAGAUCAGAUCCAUCAUACUGUGGCAGUCAAUGUGAUCAUGUGGUAGUUUUGUGGGAUGGUAAUUAAGAAAAUUGUAAGCAUAUUGAACUGAAGUUAAUCUUUUUCUUUUACUGUGACACUGAAGGUUGGUUACCAGUGUAGUUCAAGCAGUGAACACAGUUACAGUUUCAGUUCAUCCACAGAACUUUACAUCUACAGCUGUACAAUGAACUGAAGUUGAUCUUUUUUUUCACACUGAAGGUUACCAGUAUAGUUCAAGCAGUGAACACAGUUACAUUACAUCUACAGCUGUACAAC